UACAGAGGUCUCAAGCGUUGUUCGGAUUCAUUGGGCGUAAAGGGUGCGUAGGCGGCGCGGUAAGUCGGGUGUGAAAUCUCGGGGCUUAACUCCGAAACUGCAUUCGAUACUGCCGUGCUUGAGGACGGGAGAGGAGACUGGAAUUUACGGUGUAGCGGUGAAAUGCGUAGAUAUCGUAAGGAAGACCAGUGGCGAAGGCGGGUCUCUGGACAGUUACUGACGCUGAGGCACGAAGGCAAGGGGAGCAAACGGG
rnacentral:rRNA from 1 species